UUAUCACUAGAUCAUGCUGUUUACAAUUAAUUAUUUUAUCUUUCGUUUCUUUUAAUGCAUUUAAAUGUUAGCUUCGUUGACGCAGUAGAAAUAUCCCACACGUUAAAAGUAAAAAAAUGGGGAAUUUUCGAAUGUUCGUCAAAAACUUGGAAAUGGAACAGUUUACUUUUCUCCGAGAGAACCUCAAGGAUUUUCUAUCUCCUCUUAAAAGCCACAUGUGAGGCCCUUUGUUCGAGUCACGUCCCAUGGAGAGUGGGGGUGGGGUCAGUUUGAGCUAUCACGGGGUGUAACACCAACCCCAUCACCAAGUUCAAGGCCACGAUCGGUCCUCUACUCCCUUAUGUGGGGCGAACCCUAGCAUCUUCGAGACUUAGACGAAUUUUUAGGGUAAGACAAAAGGCAGAUCCAUUUUUUAGGUGAAGACGACUAGUUCGGAACACUUUUGAACGUCUUCUAGAAUCAUGUGGUUUAGCACUCCACGGACAACGGACCCGCCACCGGGAAUACCCGAAAACCACAUUGGAACGCAACAGGCCCAUCAUAUCAGACCCCUCCACUGGCAGGUGAUUCCCACCCGCCCCUGGGUGCCGGCCAAUGGAGCUGUACGAAGAGUUAAACGAUUUUCAGAUGAAGGAGAGGAAAUUGAAAAAAAUGCAGCCAAUUUUAUGAUUUCAUGAUUUUAUGAUUUUAUGAUUUUCUGCUUCUGAAUGGAAUCAUUGCAGUCGUCCCAUCCCGACUUUUUCGAAUUAUUAAAACGACAUAAGGAUGCGUUAACAAGUUGCCGAGCAUGUCAAGGGGUUGAUCUCCAAUUACGCGCCUGCGUGCGACGACGCAUUUUUUGAAUUUUUCGAAUCAUUUAUUCCAAGAGCUUAUGGCAGUUGGAAAAAAUUUCAAAAGUCGUGUACAUUCUCCACUAAUUUUUUCUCUACUUUUGAUCAUUUUUAUUACGAAAAUGUCGAGCUAAUGCAUGAAGAAAUUUCAUCGGAAAAUCUGACGAUUAGUUUUGAAAAAAAUCAUAUACUCUCGGUUGCGAAGAUAAUUAACGUUAUUGAAAUGAAUUUUCUCGUGAGUUCUGGAGAUUUCUGGAAAACUUUCACAGACGGAGAGAAAAAUACUCCAAAAAUUAUGGAAUUUUUACUUAAUCAUGGAGUGACUUUGCUUUUCGUCAAUUAAAAAAUUAUAAAUUACUGGAAGUUCUGUAAAAGAUGACCUAGCCACCAGGAAUGUUUACAAACAUUUUGGGACAGUUGUAACGGUUCCUUCAGUAUUUUUUCCGAAAACCCAGGUCGUUGCAAAAUUACUUAAAUCCAUCGUUAUUUUUAAUUUAUUUUUCUCUCUGUACAGAAGUUCAGGAAUAAUUUUUUCGUUUAGUCUAAUAAAAUUUUCAGUUACAGAACUGAAUUUUAUUUCUGACCAUCACUUCCCCCUCCCCAUCAGUCCGAGAGAUUUUCGGUAACAAUUUCUAUCUCUUGACAAUUUAGAUGCCCCAAUUUUUCCCGAAUACUAUAAAUUUUUUAUGAAAAUAUCACCACCGAAUAGCAAAUUGUCCUGAAUUUUAGAUCCAUCCCACGUCUGCGAAUGAAUUUAUUUAAAUUUCGCUCUGAAAAGUCCGCAGUUAGAUUCA